UACGGGGGGGGCAAGCGUUGUCCGGAAUUACUGGGCGUAAAGGGCUCGUAGGCGGCCAACUAAGUCAGACGUGAAAUCCCUCGGCUUAACCGGGGAACUGCGUCUGAUACUGGAUGGCUUGAGGUUGGGAGAGGGAUGCGGAAUUCCAGGUGUAGCGGUGAAAUGCGUAGAUAUCUGGAGGAACACCGGUGGCGAAGGCAGCUCUCUGGGACGGUACUGACGCUGAGACGCGAAAGCGUGGGGAGCGAACAGG
rnacentral:rRNA from 1 species